GAUGAACGCUGGCGGCGUGCCUAAUACAUGCAAGUCGAACGCAUAGCGAAAGGUGCUUGCACCUUUCAAGUGAGUGGCGAACGGGUGAGUAACACGUGGACAACCUGCCUCAAGGCUGGGGAUAACAUUUGGAAACAGAUGCUAAUACCGAAUAAAACUUAGUGUCGCAUGACACAAAGUUAAAAGGCGCUUCGGCGUCACCUAGAGAUGGAUCCGCGGUGCAUUAGUUAGUUGGUGGGGUAAAGGCCUACCAUGACAAUGAUGCAUAGCCGAGUUGAGAGACUGGUCGGCCACAUUGGGUCUGAGACACGGCCAUAACUCCUACGGGAGGCUGCAGUAGGGAAUCUUCCACAAUGGGCGAAAGCCUGAUGGGGCAACGCCGCGUGUGUGAUGAAGGCUUUCGGGUCGUAAAGCACUGUUGUAUGGGAAGAACAGCUAGAAUAGGAAAUGAUGUUAUUUUGACGGUACCAUACCAGAAAGGGACGGCUAAAUACGUG
rnacentral:rRNA from 1 species